rnacentral:rRNA from 1 species
GAUGAACGCUGGCGGCGUGCCUAACACAUGCAAGUCGAACGAAGCAAUCAGAAUGAAAUUUUUGGAUGGAUUUCUGGUUGACUGAGUGGCGGACGGGUGAGUAACGCGUGGAUAACCUGCCUCACACUGGGGGAUAACAGUUAGAAAUGGCUGCUAAUACCGCAUAAGCGCACAGUACCGCAUGGUACGGUGUGAAAAACUCCGGUGGUGUGAGAUGGAUCCGCGUCUGAUUAGUUAGUUGGCGGGGUAACGGCCCACCAAGACAGCGAUCAGUAGCCGACCUGAGAGGGUGACCGGCCACAUUGGGACUGAGACACGGCCCAA